GAUGAACGCUAGCUACAGGCUUAACACAUGCAAGUCGAGGGGAAACGAUAGAGAAAGCUUGCUUUUUCUAGGCGUCGACCGGCGCACGGGUGAGUAACGCGUAUCCAACCUGCCCAUCACUUGGGGAUAACCUUGCGAAAGUAAGACUAAUACCCAAUGACGUCUCUAGAAGACAUCUGAAAGGGAUUAAAGAUUUAUCGGUGAUGGAUGGGGAUGCGUCUGAUUAGCUUGUUGGCGGGGUAACGGCCCACCAAGGCGACGAUCAGUAGGGGUUCUGAGAGGAAGGUCCCCCACAUUGGAACGGAGACACGGUCCAAACUCCUACGGGAGGCAGCAGUGAGGAAUAUUGGUCAAUGGACGAGAGUCUGAACCAGCCAAGUAGCGUGCAGGAUGACGGCCCUAUGGGUUGUAAACUGCUUUUAUAAGGGAAUAAAGUGGGAGUCGUGACUCUUUUUGCAUGUACCUUAUGAAUAAGGACCGGCUAAUUCCGUGCCAGCAGCCGCCGUAACAC
rnacentral:rRNA from 1 species